rnacentral:rRNA from 1 species
CAAUAGCGUAUAUUUAAGUUGUUGCAGUUAAAAAGCUCGUAGUUGGAUUUCUGCUGAUCGCUGUCGGUCUGCCGUCAGGGGUGUACUGGCAGUGUUUGGCAUCUAUUCGAGAUUGGGUGUCCACUUGAUUGUGUGCACUCGAUGUCGGAGCUAAUACUUUGAGAAAAUUAGAGUGUUCCACGCAGGCGCGUGCCUUGAAUACUGCAGCAUGGGAUAUUGGAAGGCCGAUUGAGCUUUCUUGUUGGUUCUCGGUUUGAUCGGAAUGAUUAAUAGGGAUAGUUGGGGGCAUUCGUAUUCAACUGUCAGAGGUGAAAUUCUUGGAUUUGUUGAAGACGGACUACUGCGAAAGCAUCUGCCAUGGAUGUUCUCAUUG